AGUGAACGCUGGCGGUAGGCCUAACACAUGCAAGUCGAACGGCAGCACAGUAAGAGCUUGCUCUUACGGGUGGCGAGUGGCGGACGGGUGAGGAAUACAUCGGAAUCUACUUUUUCGUGGGGGAUAACGUAGGGAAACUUAUGCUAAUACCGCAUACGACCUACGGGUGAAAGCAGGGGAUCUUCGGACCUUGCGCGAUUGAAUGAGCCGAUGUCGGAUUAGCUAGUUGGCGGGGUAAAGGCCCACCAAGGCGACGAUCCGUAGCUGGUCUGAGAGGAUGAUCACCCACACUGGAACUGAGACACGGUCCAGACUCCUACGGGAGGCAGCAGUGGGGAAUGUUGCACCAUGGGCGCAACCCUGCUCCAGCCAUACCGCGUGGGUGAAGAAGGCCUUCGGGUUGUAAAGCCCUUUUGUUGGGAAAGAAACGCAGCAGGUUAAUACCCCGCUGUUCUGACGGUACCCAAUGAAUAAGCACCGGCUAACUUCGUG
rnacentral:rRNA from 1 species